rnacentral:rRNA from 1 species
AUUGAACGCUGGCGGCGUGCCUAACACAUGCAAGUCGAGCGGCAGCGCGGGAGCAAUCCUGGCGGCGAGCGGCGGACGGGUGAGUAAUGCUUGGGAAUCUGCCUGUUAGUGGGGGACAACCCGGGGAAACUCGGGCUAAUACCGCAUACGCACUACGGUGGAAAGCCGGGGACCGCAAGGCCUGGCGCUAACAGAUGAGCCCAAGUCGGAUUAGCUAGUUGGUAGGGUAACGGCCACCAAGGCGACGAUCCGUAACUGGUCUGAGAGGACGACCAGUCACACCGGAACUGAGACACGGUCCGGACUCCUACGGGAGGCAGCAGUGGGGAAUAUUGGACAA